GUUUAAUCACAUUUACAUAUUGGAAUGAUAGAGUACAUUAGCAUGGCCCCUGCUCAAGGAUAAGACACAAUUUCAUGAAGUGUUUUUCAUAUCA
rnacentral:snRNA from 1 species